rnacentral:tRNA from 1 species
AUAUUUGGAAUUAAAGAAUAUUAUAUAAUAAUUAUUAUAUAAGUAAUCAAUUAAUUUAUUAAAUAUA